GACGAACGCUGGCGGCGUGCUUAACACAUGCAAGUCGAACGGUGAAGCGCCUUCCUUUUUGGUGGGUGUGGAUGAGUGGCGAACGGGUGAGUAACACGUGAGUAACCUGCCCCCUUCUUCUGGAUAACCGCAUGAAAGUGUGGCUAAUACGGGAUAUUCUGGGUCUGUCGCAUGAUGGGUCUGGGAAAGAUAUUGUUUCGGUGGGGGAUGGGCUCGCGGCCUAUCAGCUUGUUGGUGGGGUGAUGGCCUACCAAGGCGGUGACGGGUAGCCGGCCUGAGAGGGUGGACCGGACAAAGGGGAAGGAGAAACGGACAAGACUCCUACGGGAGGCAGCAGGGGGGAAUAGUGAAAAAUGGGAGGAAGGCUGAUGCAGCGACGCCGGGGGGGGGAUGGAGGCCUUCGGGUUGUGAACCUUUUUCGCCAGUGAAGCAGGCCUGCCUAGUUUGUGGGUGGGUUGACGGUAGCUGGAUAAGAAGCGCCGGCUAACUACGUG
rnacentral:rRNA from 1 species